UGAUUGUUUCUCUAACCGAGAGAGGUUCAGGUAUGGACCGUCACCAGUUAACGCCCAGAUUUAGCCUCUUAGGAUGGCCUUGGCUCUCGAGGCCCAUGAGAUUCGAUCCCUGAUCUUAGUCAGCCACCACCCCGUAAGGAGCAGCUAUCGAUGAUGGCGUACGUCUAGCUGUUGGAGUGAAGUAAGUAGAGCUACUCUAAAUGCUUCAACAGCACUGAGUCCAAGAGAGGUAGUGAUUUUAGGUAGGGUAAAUCAAAGAUACUGAAAGACAGCAGAGCGAUGCGACUACUGAUGAAACUGACGCUGAGAACGAAAGUGUGGGGAGCAAAUAGGAUUAGAUACCCUAGUAGUGCACACCGUAAACGAUGAGUGCUGCGCUGCUAAAAAGUGGCGCUCAGCUAACGCUUUAAGCACUCCGCCUGAGGAGUACGGCCGCAAGGUUGGAACUCAAAGGAAUUGACGGGGGCCUACACAAGUGGUGGAGCAUGUGGUUUAAUGCGACAAUACGCGCGAAACCUUACCAGUCCUUGACUUAAAAAUGUGUUUUAGUUAACCCUAAAAUACUUAAAUUUUUACAGGUGUUGCAUGGCUGUCGUCAGCUCGUGUCGUGAGAUGUUUGGUUAAGUCCUUUAACGAGCGCAACCCUUAUUUUUAAUUGCUUAUAAGCUUUAAAAACACUGCCGGUAAAAAACUGGAGGAAGGAAGGGAUGACGUCAAGUCUUCAUGGCCCUUAUGGACUGGGCUACACACGUGCUACAAUGGUAAAGACAAUGCGAAGCUAAAGCGUGAGCUGUCGCGAAUCGCAAAAACUUUAUCUUAGUCCGGAUUGGAGGCUGCAACUCGCCUCCAUGAAGUUGGAAUCACUAGUAAUCGCAAAGAAGAGUGUUGCGGUGAAUACGUACCUAGGCCUUGUACACACCGCCCGUCACAUGCCGGAAGUUAGUUUUACUUGAAACCUAUUUUUAACCAAUCGGAGUAAAAUAGUCGAGAGGGAAACUUUCGACUGGGAUGAAGUCGUAACAAGGUAA
rnacentral:rRNA from 1 species